GACACGGCUGGCGGCGUGGAUUAGGCAUGCAAGUCGAACGGUAUCAUCCUUUCGGGGGUGAGAGAGUGGCGAACUGGUGAGUAACACGUAGGUUAUCUACCUCAAGACGGGGACAACCCAGGGAAACUUGGGCUAAUACCGGAUGUGAGCAACUUUUAGUUGUUUGAAAGGUGGCGUAAGCUGUCGCUUGGGGAUGAGCCUGCGUCCUAUUAGUUAGUUGGUGAGGUAACGGCUCACCUAGGCAAUGAUAGGUAGGCGGCCUUAACGGGUGGUCGCCCACACUGGGAUUGAGAUACGGCCCAGACUCCUACGGGAGGCAGCAGUCGAGAAUAGUCUACAAUGGUCGGAAGACUGAUAGUGCGACGCCGCGUGAACGAUGAAUCCCUUCGGGGUGUAAAGUUCUUUUAUAUGUGAGCAGUGCUUCUUAUAUUAACAGUAUGGGGAGAGAGAUAUUAGCAUAUGAAUAAGCAACGGCUAACUCCGUG
rnacentral:rRNA from 1 species